CGGGGAACGUGUGGUAUAUUGGUCAUGGACGCAAGUCUGACCAGCCAUGCCGCGUGCAGGAUGACGGUCCUAUGGAUUGUAAACUGCUUUUGUACGAGAAGAAACACUGCUACGUGUAGCAGCUUGACGGUAUCGUAAGAAUAAGGAUCGGCUAACUCCGUGCCAGCAGCCGCGGUAAU
rnacentral:rRNA from 1 species